rnacentral:rRNA from 1 species
CUGCAGCCCGAGUGGUGAUCGAUUUUAUUGAGCCUAAAGCGUCCGUAGCCGGACUAGUAAACCCUUGGGUAAAUUGGGCAGCUUAACUGUCCAAAUUCCGAGGGGACUGCUAGUCUUGGGACCGGGAGAGGUCAGAGGUACUCAAGGGGUAGGGGCUAAAUCCUGUAAUCCUUUGGGGACCACCAGUGGCGAAGGCGUCUGACUAGAAUGGAUCCGACGGUAAGGGACGAAACCCUGGGGCGCGAACCGGAUUAGAUACCCGAGUAGUCC